rnacentral:rRNA from 1 species
CAGUAGCCACGGUAAUACAGAGGUUGCGAGCGUUAAUCGGAUUUACUGGGCGUAAAGCGUGCGUAGGCGGCUUUUUAAGUCGGAUGUGAAAUCCCUGAGCUUAACUUAGGAAUUGCAUUCGAUACUGGGAAGCUAGAGUAUGGGAGAGGAUGGUAGAAUUCCAGGUGUAGCGGUGAAAUGCGUAGAGAUCUGGAGGAAUACCGAUGGCGAAGGCAGCCAUCUGGCCUAAUACUGACGCUGAGGUACGAAAGCAUGGGGAGCAAACAGGAUUAGAUACCCGUGUAGUCCCUGUCUCUUAUAC